CUAUCGAACUUCGUGCACAUAUAGACGUGAUGCUUUGACGAUAAAUACUUAUUAAAAUUCAAAUUAUUUAUUUCUGCCUUGUAAAGGUACAGACAGCAGAGGCGCAGAAAGAGCUGUCAGAUACAGAUUGACAACGCCGCAGCCCCCUUUCGCUUGGCAGAGCCUUUACAGCGACACUUUUAAAACAAAGACAAUUGCACCCGGUAAUAACAGGUAUACAAUACUGAGCAAGUACAAAAGGAAACCAACCAAGAUUAUACGAUAUUUGUACAAUACUCCCAAACAAGAAAACAGAACCUACAUGCUAACGUACAUAGCACCCAAAGUACUGUUCGACACGUUGAAGAGGUCAAAAUUAUUGUUCACAUAAGGUAUGCACAUAUUCGUAUAGCGCUACCAAUCCCUGCAAAAUAUAGAACGCAGAUUUUCAUUACACACACGCACGCACGCACGUGCACAGCACACACACCAAAAGGAAACGGCAACGCGCUCACAGGAAGCGCCUGAAAAACGAAAAAAAAGGAAAAGUGUGGGGAACCGAGGUCGUCUUGGGCUGUCGCCUCUCCCUCUCCCAGAAGGAAUGAAGAGGUUCUUGGAAAGCAGGGACGGGCGAUUCUCUCUGUCAGCAUCAGCUCCCACAAGCGAGGACGGGGCGAGAAAGCGAAACGGGACUUUCCUUGCUGUCUAUUUUUUCUUCGUCAGGCCAACGCCGCUUGCUUGCAGGGGCGCAGGCGAGUUCCCGCCAAAUGGCGCGGGUGCGUGAGUUGCCGCCAAAUGCUAGCUGUGGAUGCCAGCUCGUUCCGCGUCUCAUGGUAGACUAGUUGGUGCAUUUCUGUUAUCAUGGACUGCGCAUAUAAACGCAAGCUACACAAAAGUGACAUGGACAAGAACAGCGCAAGCCCUUUACAUGCAGUGGAGCCGCCGUAUCUCGCCGUUAAAGAUAUGCGUACUCGAAGAAAAAAAAAGAGGCUUUACAUGAGAACGGAUCAAGCGUUCGAGAGUUGGGACAGGGAAAUGUGAGACGUACUUUCAUGUAUAUAUUUCUAAUAUUAUUUUUUCGUAUUGUAUUCUCGUUAAUUUUUCUCUAGGAAACACUGGAACGACACAGCUUAAAUUGAAGAACAGUGUGCGAAUGACCUGCUACGCUCGGAACUGUUAUCACCAUUCGGGAAGAAAUUGGAUGAAAAAACAUAACUGUAAAUACCUGUAUGAUAUACGUCUGGUGCAUUGCAG